rnacentral:rRNA from 1 species
AUGAGUAGGGCGGGACACGUGGUAUCCUGUCUGAAUAUGGGGGGACCAUCCUCCAAGGCUAAAUACUCCUGACUGACCGAUAGUGAACCAGUACCGUGAGGGAAAGGCGAAAAGAACCCCGGCGAGGGGAGUGAAAAAGAACCUGAAACCGUGUACGUACAAGCAGUGGGAGCACAGGUUUACCUGUGUGACUGCGUACCUUUUGUAUAAUGGGUCAGCGACUUAUAUUCUGUAGCAAGGUUAACCGUAUAGGGGAGCCGUAGGGAAACCGAGUCUUAACCGGGCGUUAAGUUGCAGGGUAUAGACCCGAAACCCGGUGAUCUAGCCAUGGGCAGGUUGAAGGUUGGGUAACACUAACUGGAGGACCGAACCGACUAAUGUUGAAAAAUUAGCGGAUGACCUGUGGCUGGGGGUGAAAGGCCAAUCAAACCGGGAGAUAGCUGGUUCUCCCCGAAAGCUAUUUAGGUAGCGCCUCGUGAAUUCAUCUCCGGGGGUAGAGCACUGUUUCGGCUAGGGGGCCAUCCCGGCUUACCAACCCGAUGCAAACUGCGAAUACCGGAGAAUGUUAUCACGGGAGACACACGGCGGGUGCUAACGUCCGUCGUGAAGAGGGAAACAACCCAGACCGCCAGCUAAGGUCCCAAAGUCAUGGUUAAGUGGGAAACGAUGUGGGAAGGCCCAGACAGCCAGGAUGUUGGCUUAGAAGCAGCCAUCAUUUAAAGAAAGCGUAAUAGCUCACUGGUCGAGUCGGCCUGCGCGGAAGAUGUAACGGGGCUAAACCAUGCACCGAAGCUGCGGCAGCGACGCUUAUGCGUUGUUGGGUAGGGGAGCG